rnacentral:rRNA from 1 species
UACAGAGGUCUCAAGCGUUGUUCGGAUUCAUUGGGCGUAAAGGGUGCGUAGGUGGCGCUGUAAGUCGGGUGUGAAAUCUCGGAGCUUAACUCCGAAAUGGCAUUCGAUACUGCGGUGCUUGAGGACUGGAGAGGAGACUGGAAUUCAUGGUGUAGCAGUGAAAUGCGUAGAGAUCAUGAGGAAGACCAGUGGCGAAGGCGGGUCUCUGGACAGUUCCUGACACUGAGGCACGAAGGCCAGGGGAGCAAACGGG